AUGAGGCAACAGCUUCAUUUUACGGAUGAAAUUCCUCAGACUUCAGGAGCUGUUAUCCAGGACCCUGACCCUGCUGUGUACCAGCUGAGGGAUUCCAAAUCCAGCAACAAUUCCAUCUGCCUAUUCACGGACUUUGAUUCUCAAGUCAAUGUGUCUCACGUCUCAGAGUCUGAAACAUUCAUCUCAGAACAAACAGUGACGGACAUGCAGUCCAUGAGUUCCAAGAGCAACAGCAUCUUAGCCUGGAGCAGCAGAACUGAUUUUAACUGUACAAGCACCUUCAGUGGGAACAACUUCUACUCCAGCCUAGGGAUUCCCUGUGAUGCCAAGUUGGUAGAGAAAAGCUUUGAAACAGAUAUGAACCUAAACUUUCAAAACCUGUCAGUGAUUGGGUUCCGCAUCCUCCUCCUGAAAGUGGUUGGAUUUAACCUGCUCAUGACGCUGCGGCUGUGGUCCAGCUAAGGUCUGCAAGAUUGUGAGAGAGCUGGGCUCCCUCCUGCCUUCCUCCUCACCACACCUCCUCCUCUUCUUCAAGCAGAGGAAAAGGCUCCCACCACCCCUCUGGCCCUCACUGGCAAUGCCAUCAACUGGAUGCCACCCGAAUUUGUGAUGAAGAUUGCUGAGGAGCUGCCACACACUGCUGCCGCCCUUGUGUUCCCUCAUGGCUGCUUGUCACUGCCUGACCCUCCCCAAAGACCACCUCUGCCUUCCCACUGGACGAGGGAUUCCCCAGUGAGGGCUCUUGGACUCUAGCUCCUGGAGAAUGUUGUGAGGAGUUUGUAUUUUUAAAGUAGUGUUCAUAAAGAAAUAUGUACUCCCCUUUUCCCCAAGAUGUGGGGAAAAGUACCUCAUUAUCUAGGCCCUGCUAUGCUGUGCAUCUGAGCCACUUGUGUAUCUGCUGCCCUGGCUUCAUUAAAAGUGAUGUUGUAGAGCA